AGUGAACGCUGGCGGUAGGCCUAACACAUGCAAGUCGAACGGCAGCACAGUAAGAGCUUGCUCUUACGGGUGGCGAGUGGCGGACGGGUGAGGAAUACAUCGGAAUCUACUUUUUCGUGGGGGAUAGCGUAGGGAAACUUACGCUAAUACCGCAUACGACCUACGGGUGAAAGCAGGGGAUCUUCGGACCUUGCGCGAUUGAAUGAGCCGAUGUCGGAUUAGCUAGUUGGCGGGGUAAAGGCCCACCAAGGCGACGAUCCGUAGCUGGUCUGAGAGGAUGAUCAGCCACACUGGAACUGAGACACGGUCCAGACUCCUACGGGAGGCAGCAGUGGGGAAUAUUGGACAAUGGGCGCAAGCCUGAUCCAGCCAUACCGCGUGGGUGAAGAAGGCCUUCGGGUUGUAAAGCCCUUUUGUUGGGAAAGAAAGGCAGCAGGUUAAUACCCCGCUGUUCUGACGGUACCCAAAGAAUAAGCACCGGCUAACUUCGUG
rnacentral:rRNA from 1 species